rnacentral:rRNA from 1 species
UACGGAGGGGGCUAGCGUUGUUCGGAAUUACUGGGCGUAAAGCGUGCAUAGGUGGUUUGUUAAGUCUGAUGUGAAAGCCCUGGGCUCAACCUGGGAAUUGCAUUGGAUACUGGCAGGCUAGAGUGCGGUAGAGGGUAGUGGAAUUCCCGGUGUAGCAGUGAAAUGCGUAGAGAUCGGGAGGAACACCAGUGGCGAAGGCGACUACCUGGACCAGCACUGACACUGAGGCACGAAAGCGUGGGGAGCAAACAGG